AGUAGCUUGCGUAAUUCCUAUAUGUGCAAUAUAACCAUUACCAAAAGCUUGAAUUUAAGUAAAUAUAGAUCGCAAUUUACAAACACGUGGGAGAGAGGGGAGAGGACAGAGAUUUCCUCUCACUACAUUAAUUUAAAUAUCUUCGCCAACGUUUGGAUGAAAAUACAAAUAUUGCUAGUUUCCGAAAGCCUAACGAGAUUAUUCAAAAUCUUUCUGAAUUUGAAUUUAAAAUUUCCUUUGCAAAAGGUACCAACUUUACCAAUCGGUAUGAAAAUGGACCAGAUUGAGCCUUCUCUUGAAUCGUUUGGGAAGAAGCAGUGAUAUUCGUGCGCACUCACAAUAAGAUGAUGCAUCGAUCUAAUGAUUUUUACACCUUUUGGUCUAAAUGGCAAUUUCGCAUACCGGUGAAGCCUUUCUUGAAAUUGAUCAUACGGCUCAUAAGCUAUUAGCAGAGUAAUAAUUGAGUUCUCCUGAAUUAGAUAAGAACGGAAAACUGUUUUAUUAAACAAAAAAGCUGACAUUCAUACACACACUAUGAUAUUCUAUUUUCUUAUCUUAACACAUUAAAAAAAAUUCAUAAAUUAUCAACUUUCAGACUAAGCGAUGAAGGAAUAACACUAUAGUACGCUUAGCGUGCCGAAAACCCGAAAGUUCUACGAUAGUCUUUUGCCGAGAUCUCAAUCAAUUUACAAAAGGUGCCUGAAUAACCGACAGUUAAUGGAACAAUAUCCUUUUUGAGUCAAAAAUGCGCUAAAAAGCAGAUUCAUGUUAUAGACGGAAAGCUGGGCACAUCUUUUUUUGUAUUUCACAUUUUACGCUAUGGUGCUUACUCUUCGAGAAAAGAGCGAAUUACAAACAAUUAUUUUAACACAAAAACUGUAAUGAAUCUUUUGUAGAGUUUUUUUAUUCCACAUUAACCAGUGUACUUGAAACUUGAAACUUGAAACUUUGACAUAUGCCUGGCGUCGCCGCCUCUCCCAGGAUUUAGUCAACUGUCGUGAGGAUGCGUCCCUGGUAGGCACUAUCAGGGACGUUUCUGCGUAAAAAUUACUAACCUUUUUUUCAAACCCUUAUGGCACUUUUAAAUUAUGAUGUUCUUUCUUGUGAACACGAUAACACAAAAAUGCCCGAACCGAUUUUGAUAAAAUUUGGAAUGCAUGUUUGUAUGCGAAAUCGCAACCAUCUUAUGUUUAUUUCUGUCCGUUAAUUUUUUCGCAUACGAUGUAACAGUAACUAACAAUUUUCUGUAGCCAUCUCUUAGACUAUCAGUAAAUCCUUCGAGUUUUGGGUCACAUCAUUGGCACAAUCAAAACACAUUCAUUCAACUUCCCGGACUCGUUCAGCGCCCAUUGUGCACGUCGUACUCACAAUUGGAGUCUCUUCCCAAUUACACCUUCGUAAUAUAUUGUUUUCAAAUGAGCAUUUUGUGACAUGGGAACUUCUUAUAUCUGUGAAACCAGCACUCUACGUCGGGGAACCCCCCCCCCCCCAUCAAAUUGUUCCUCACAUUAAAAACUCUAGAGGUUUGACAAGCUCAUCCCUGAAAAAACUGCUUUUUUCUUACCUUCCUUUCUUGUUUUAGAGUCGUGUCCAAGUCAGAUAAAAAAAGCACAUGGUUAGGUACAGUCUCCAUCAUGAAGUAUAAAUUUUUUUUCUUUUCCAGGAGAUGUAAUGAUUGGAAUACUCCUCCGUUGGUUCGCGUCUCCACAGGUAUAUUAACGAAUCUCCUGGCCGACGUCAAAUGAGUCAGUUGGCUGAAACCACACCUAAAACAACUCGAGGUGUCAUAUAAAAACACUUCCAUCAAAAUUUACCUACAUUGCAGGUUAAAUUAAACAAAAACCUUCACCAUCAAGGUGUAAACACACUAUUCAAUACAUAACAGUAUUAGCUUGUCCAGAGAGUCCUUCUCAACAAGUGUCCCGAUGCUGGAAGAGCCUACGUCCAGAUUCGACCCACCAUGUCUUUGUCGGCAAAAAAUUAAGAAAAAAAUAUAAAGGAUAAAAAACAAAGUCAACAGUGAAAAAAGGAAGAAAAGAAAAAUCCUAAUACUUGGACGAGAACUGUAAGGAAGAUAAUUUAAGAGAAGAGUGUCAAAUUGGCUUAGGUGUAAAUAAAAAAAUUAACAAAUACAUCAAUCAGUAAAUAAAUAGGUAAAUAAGUAAAUAAUUCGCUUUAUUAUUUUAGGACACAAAAGCGACAUGGAUUGCUAAAUAAAUAGAGAUAUAUAUAUGGUAAACCUUCUGGGGUGAUGACAUUAAAUUAGAAAACAUUUUUUUUGGCUUAAUGCGAGGUGAAUGAAGAUCUAAAACAGUAACCCGAAUGAGUGUGAAUGCGACCAGACUUCAUCCUGAAGAACGCUCACGUAUACAAAAACAAUUACAUAACAACAAAUCCUGUUAGAAACAAAGUUUGUUGGGAAAUUUUUGCGGCUAUGAACCUACCAUCGCAUACCUAUACCAUUGAAUAAUAAAUUCAGAUUCUUUAUUCAAUGCCUAUACUAAGAACAUUUUAAAGUUAAAAGGACUGAUUUUGUCAAAAAAUACGUUUCGUGAUGUGGGAGAGUCUAGACGAUUUUAUUAUGUAGGUAAUUCAUUCGUAUUUUAAGAGCAACCUGGCAUAUUAUAAUUUGCAGUUAUGGUAAUAGACAUGUAGUAUUUAUUGAAUUGUUUAUUAAUAAUGGAAUUGAAAUUAUAAGAAAUGUUUAUUAGUAUUUGAAAUUGGUAGGUACGUCAGUACUUCCAGGCCUAGAUUUCGUAAUUAUGCAGCCAUUCAGUAGAAUGCAGCGGCACCUACUGGUUUUAACGAGAGCUUAACAUCGAUUUGCUCUGCAAGGGUGUUCCUACCCGAAUUUUUGAGUAUAUCAACCAGAUGGCGCCUACGUAUUAAUUUGUUACUCGCAAAAUACUUUCGUUGUAAUGAGUUAUUUUAAUUGUAC